GUUUGUUUGUUUGUUUUGCUUUGUAGGACUAUACUAGAGGCAUAUGGAAGUUUCCAGGCUAGGGGUCUAAUCGCAGCUACAGCUGCCAGCCUACACCACAGCCACAGCAACGCCAGAUCCCAGCUGCAUCUGCAACCUAUACCACAGCUCACGGCAACACAAGAUCCUUAACCCAUUGGUCGAGGCCAGGGAUCAAACCUGCAUCUUCGUGGAUACUGGCCAGGUUAGUUACCACUGAGCCAUGUUGGGAACUCCCAUUAGGUUUUUGUUUUGUUUGUUUGUUUUGGUCUUUUUGUUUCUUUAGGGCCACACCCACAGCACAUGGAGGUUCCCAGGCUAAGGGCUAAAUCGGAACUGUAGCCACCAGCCUACACCACAGCCACAGCAAAGCAUGAUCUGAGCCACACCUGUGACCUACACUACAACUCACAGCAAUGCCACAGCCUCAACCCACUGAGCAAGGUCAGGGAUCGAACCCACAUCCUCAUGGAUGCUAGUCGGGUUCGUUAACCACUGAGCCACACCAGGAACUCCUCCCACUAAGUAUUUUUUAACCUUAUUUUUUUUUUUCUUUUUAGGGCCUCACCUGUGGCUCUUUAAAAAUAAAAAUAAAAAUAAAGACACAAUAUUAAGUGAACAAAAUAGGAUAAAAAUGUGUACAAACAGCCUAAUCAUAAUUUUGGAUUGGGAAGAUGGAGAGAAAUGUCUAUAAAAAAAAAAUUCAAAGGAAAUACAGUACAUGUAAAAACAAGCCUGUGCCCUUUUCUCUGCCCUCCAUUGCCUCUCCUCAGCCCCAGUCGCUCUUCAGAAACUGGCUUCAAAUCCUACCGAGGCACUAUUAUACCAUGCAGUGACCUCCCUUAGUCAUCACACAAUUACCUUACUCAUCAUCAUACUUUCCGUAACUUUUUGGGUCCUCCCUCCAGAGGACAAAUAUUUGCCACAACUAGGAAUGUUACAGACUCUAAAACAACUAUUAUACCUUGAUAUAUGGCUCUAUGCUAAUCAACACAACUUCCAUGUAAGAUGUUAGGCUGGUGCUACAUGUACCCCAUUCUAAAGACCUGGAUUUCUGCCAAGGAGCUACUAUCUCCUCUCUGUGGACAGCUAAGACAUAUAUAAGAAAGAGUAAGUCACAAAACAAGAGGACACAAAAGCAGAACAGGGAAUAGGUGCUACAAAGAGUUCAUACACAUUUGCACGAAGAUACACAGUGAGUUACUGCCCUUUACUGAAUAUUCCCUUUCCCCACUUGAACCAAAUAUGAACCCCUCAGAUACAACAGUUCUAUCUCAUCCCUUAUUUUAUUUUUUGGAUAUAUAUCCAGGAGAGGAAGAUUCCAUUGGUGAUUUUAUUUAUUUAUUUUCUGGCUGCACCCGUAGCAUGUGGAAGUAACCAGGCCAGGGACUGAACCCAAGCUACAGCUGCAGCCUGCACCACAGUUGAGGCAAUUCCACACCCUUAACCCACUGAGCCACAAGUAAACUUCCUCAUUCCUUAUUUUUAUAUCUAAACCUAAUGUCUAAGUUAAUAUGCGAAUGUUUGUGCAAGCUCAUUACUGCAGUAUGAGUAACAGUGGGGAAUGCACCGAGGUAAAUGGUGGUUUCAGGAAGAAAUAAGAUAGAACUUGCUCCUGGUGUAUUUCAGACUGAAAACGUUAGGAUACACUGAGGUAGCUGCCAUCAGGGGACUCUGCUAACUCAAUGGACUCCUCCCAGACUUCAGUUCUCUGGUGAGGGGCUAGACGAGGCGGGGAAGUCUAGAACUGAACUGAAUAUAGUUUCCUUUACUUUUCAGAUGAGAAAAGCAAUGCAAGCAAGCUGUCCCUCUUUUCUUCAGGUUGGAUCACAGUAGUGACCUUGACAGAAGCCUCAGUGCCUAGCUUACCCUCGGCAUUGACACCCCAAUCUCCCUUCUUCUGCUCCAUAUGUAUCUCCAGCUGUUAUCCUGCCUCUCCAGCCCUUGGUCAAGGACAGAAGCCAUGCUAGCCAAUAGACAGUCGUCUUUUUGAAGUCCCAACUAGGAACCAGUGCCUUAAACCUCCCAGGGAAGCAAUUAUCUGAUUUGAAGGGAUGGCUCAUCCCUAAAAUGUUGACAAGACCACAGAGACCAAACUCAAAGUUCAGCCUGAAUGCAAUGAGGAAAGGGAACUGAGAAUAUGUCUUGAAUUCUCCAUCCUGGAUUUUCUUGUUCUCCACGACACAGACACAUUUAAGGAUUAGUAUCUGUCUUUCUAGAACAACUUUCAAAGUUCACCUGGCUUUGGGCAAACUUUAAGACUUUAUCUUCCAAAGAGUUCCUUUGGUAGAGCACGUAAGGGGGAAGUUCUCCUUCAUUUCUAACCCAAAGCACUCCUAUUAAAAUUGAGAUUUAUUUCUUAGAAGAUGUUCAAGGCAGCAAAUGAACAUCCUCUAUAUCAUUAUUUCUCAGGUUAUUCUUGCAUGCUAAUGUUUGAGACCCACAGCUCUACCUCUAACUUUCAGAGGCUUCAAGACACUUUCAUUCCUCCACUGUUACUAAUUCUAAUUAUUUUCCUUUUCAAUAGGUUCCACUCACCAUGAUUUCCCUUCUCUGUUUCUUCACACCUCCCUCAGGUUUCUUUCCACUGUUCUUUCCUCUUCAGCCCUUCAGCCCCCUUCCCAUCCCUCAGUCUCCUAACCUAAAUGGACAGACGCCUGGCUUUACUACCUCCUACUUUUCUGACCUAGCAUUCUUCCCUGUAGGAAUGUUAAUUAGCACGUGGGAUUUAAUUAAUUCAGCAGCUAAUUAAAAAUGGGAGAGGAAGAGUGGGAGAGGAGGCGGGUAGGCGAGACAGAGCCCGCCUCAGUGCAGAAGGCACCGCAGAUGGUUCUGGGUUGGUUGGCACCAUGCCACCGCCCUCCCCCCCUCAACGGCACGCACGGCGACGGGGGAGGGGCAAAAGUGAGGGGCACAGCCUGGCAGAGCCUCUAGACAGACUCAUUCAGUCCCGCUGCCGCUUUGUGCUGGGGAGAGACAGAAAGAGGGAGAAAACGAAGGAAAGAGUGGGAGAAACAAGGAGAGACCACGCUGGGGAAGAGCUAAGGAAGGGGGUGUCGGAGCCAAAUGACAGGAAGAAGCAACGAGGAAAGAGCUUGUUCAUCCCAAAAGAGAGUCAGCGUCUUGGGGUUCCCUGGCUCCUAAAGACCACUGAGGACAAGAUGGGAAGACAGCCACUGACCCUCUGGAGAAAAAGGGAUUGCCCACUCUGACAACCAGUGACCCAUCUGCAGCCACUCCUCCCACACCACGCUGCUUCUUCAGCAUGUGCAGGCGAUGAGGAAGACAGCAAUGGAAAAUGAAAGAUGGGGGGGUGGAGGGAGGGGGUGCAGAUGGGCAACAGUGAGCAGGUGGAGACGGAGAUUUAAAGGAAGAGGAAUGAAGGGUACUCGUGGAGGGAAGGGAGAAGUGGGAGAAAGCAAAGGAGAAGAAAUAAAUAUUGGAGAAGGAAGAGGAGGAAGUCAGGGGCAGGGCCAUGCUUUGUUUGCCAAGAAGGAUAAAGAGGGCUGGCUGGAGUGUCUGUGCAGAGGACUUUCACAUUUGAUUCCGCCUAGCCCAGGCCAGGCGGUUGGGGGGGGGGAGUCGUCAGCACAGCAGGGAGGGGGCAAGAGCAGAUCCCUCUGAGGGUCAACUGGGGGGCCAGAGGACUCGUCCUACAGAUCUUCCAAAAUUCUGGAUACUUCUGCCAAACCAGGAAUUUAUCAAGAGCAAUGGAGCAAAGCUUUCAAAUGAACAGAAAAGGAGGCUAGGAUGACAGGAAGCUGCAGAAUCCAAUUCCAGGAGCUCCAGCAGGGAGAUGGGUGAGGAAUGGGAUUUUUAGCAGCACCCAGCUGGCUCUUUAAGAGUGUCACUUGACACUGAGGGAAAUACAUCCAUUAGGGGAUGGAUUUGAGGAUUUGAGGGAUGAGAAAGAGAGGAAAGGCUGUGUUUCAGAAAGCGUCCUUUUGGUGGGAGGCAUCUAGGAAGCUCUGGAGCUUAAAGCCUUGGGAGGGAAUAAAAGGGUAAGAAGGAAGUCUGCCAUCAGUGACAGAUUACAUAAGACUUGACUGAAAGAAAGUGAGAAGGAGGGUGUGAAGCCAGAUGAAGCUUCUCUGGUGUUAACCGCCACAGAACUGAAUGCAAUGGCAGACAAGGGUCACUGUAGCUAAGAGACAGGGUUUUCCUGGCUGGGAAUUCUGAUUUGAUCUCUUUACCACCUAGGGCUUCCUGCAAGAGCUAGCAGUGAGUGAAUCGAAAUUGGGAGAGAGGAAGUAGACACUCAAGGGCUUUUUAUUCUCCAGAGGUCACCCAGGGGGCUAAACCCAAGGCUGGCAGAUGAGACAAAGCACUGCUCAGAGUAAGUUGCUAUAGGCUCAGUCAGAAAUACAUGAAUGCUUUCUGAGCUUAUUUUCUAGUCUAGGCUUUGAUUAACAAUAAAAAUUACAGGAACAUUUAUUAAUAGAGGCACAAUGAUGGCUUUACAGUAGAAAUUCUCUAAGAUUUAAGGUUAUCAGCAUUAGCAGGAGGAAGUGGGUGGUCCAUAGAGCCUUUUGUUAUUUCAGUGGUCCCAGACCCAAGAGUUAGUUGCAAAUGAGCAGCAGUGCUUAGAGUCCCCUGUAUCCACCACCAUGUGCUAUUCAGCCCU
rnacentral:lncRNA from 1 species